UCUCCCAGUAUCCCACGAGUCCACGAGCAGCAGCCGCCAGCCGCCAGGGGGGUGCCCUGCUCCCGCAUCCGCCAGCGCCACCUGCGACGCCGCCCGACGCCGCGGACGCCGGCGACCCCGCGCGAUGCCGCCGACGCGCCGGCCGCCUGUCCUGCUCCCGCACGGCCUCUCCUCAGCCUCUGCCGUCCCUCCCACCGCCGCCCGCAUAGGUGGCCGCCACAGCCCCUCCCGCCAGGCACCCGCGCAGUGAUGGCGAUAGCAAGGUGCCGAGGCCUACAGGCAGCGGCGGCGGCGCCUCCACUCCAACGACGGAAGGAGCCCCCAAGGCACAGCCUCCUGCAGGUUGCAGCGGGCAGCGGCGGGCCGGAGCUUCCUCCUCCGCACGGGACAGGUGGCGCCUCUUCCCGAGGACCUAGCGGCAGAGCCUGACCCGGAGGUGAAUGUGGCUGGUGGCUCCCUGAGGAACGGUGAUUUGGAUGCCCCCGCCGGCCAAUAUAUACCAUCCUUAUCCGAGGUAGUAGUGUGAUGUUUUCAAAUAUAGAUUGGGGGCACAGAGCCUUCUAUGGCAUAUAAUACCAUGGAUUCCAAUUUCAGCAAUAGUCUAGAGGAUGCAAUUUGCUGUUAUGUUAUUUACUACUAUUGUGUUUGCUUGUUUGGAACUAUGAUUUCAGUUAUUUAUGACUUAUGAGACUAUUAUGUUUGCUUGUUUGGAACUAAGUUUUAAAAUUAUUUAUAAGACUGCAAGUUGCUGUAUGUUUUUAUUUCUAUUAAAAAAUUUGUAUCCGUA